AAGCGGCGAAAGGGACAGUAACACGUAGAUUACCUACCCUCUGGUUCAGAAUAGCUGCGGGAAACUGCAGGUAAUGCUGAAUGAUAUCUCCGGAUCAAAGGUGUGAUUCCGCCGGAGGAUGGGUCUGCGUCCUAUUAGCUUGUUGGUGAGGUAACGGCUCACCAAGGCAAUGAUGGGUAGUGGGUGUGAGAGCACGACCCGCGUCACUGGGACUGAGAUACUGCCCAGACACCUACGGGUGGCUGCAGUCGAGGAUCUUCGGCAAUGGGCGCAAGCCUGACCGAGCGACGCCGCGUGCGGGAUGAAGGCCUUCGGGUUGUAAACCGCUGUCAGAGGGGAUGAAAUACAGGUGGGUUCUCCCAUCUGCUUGACAUAUCCUCAGAGGAAGUACGGGCUAAGUUCGUGCCAGCAGCCGCGGUAAGACGAACCGUACGAACGUUAUUCGGAAUCACUGGGCUUAAAGGGUGCGUAGGCUGCGCAGAAAGUUGGGUGUGAAAUCCCUCGGCUUAACCGAGGAACUGCGCCCAAAACUACUGUGCUCGAGGGAGACAGAGGUGAGCGGAACUUAGGGUGGAGCGGUGAAAUGCGUUGAUAUCCUAAGGAACACCGGUGGCGAAAGCGGCUCACUGGGUCUCUUC
rnacentral:rRNA from 1 species